rnacentral:rRNA from 1 species
CAGUAGCCGCGGUAAAACGGAGGGGGCUAGCGUUGUUCGGAAUUACUGGGCGUAAAGCGCACGUAGGCGGCUUGGUAAGUUAGAGGUGAAAGCCUGGAGCUCAACUCCAGAAUUGCCUUUAAGACUGCCGAGCUAGCAGGUGAGAGAGGUAAGUGGAAUUCCGAGUGUAGAGGUGAAAUUCGUAGAUAUUCGGAAGAACACCAGUGGCGAAGGCGGCUCACUGGCUCAUACUGGACGCUGAGGUGCGAAAGCGUGGGGAGCAAACAGGAUUAGAUACCCGAGUAGUCCCUGUCUCUUAUAC